GGGUCAGUAGGUUGGUCGUGCCACCGGUACGUACUGGUCUCACUGAUUCCUCCUUCCUGAAGAACCGUAAUGCCAUUAAUUUGGUGUUGCGGGGAAACAGGACAGUUACUUUGAAAAAAUUAGAGUGUUUAAAGCAAGCUAACGCUUGAAUACAUUAGCAUGGAAUAAUGAAAUAGGACGAUCGAUCCUAUUUUGUUGGUUUCUAGGAUUGACGUA
rnacentral:rRNA from 1 species